rnacentral:rRNA from 1 species
UGCAGUCGAACGGUGAAGCCAAGCUUGCUUGGUGGAUCAGUGGCGAACGGGUGAGUAACACGUGAGCAACCUGCCCUGGACUCUGGGAUAAGCGCUGGAAACGGCGUCUAAUACUGGAUAUGAGCUCUCAUCGCAUGGUGGGGGUUGGAAAGAUUUUUCGGUCUGGGAUGGGCUCGCGGCCUAUCAGCUUGUUGGUGAGGUAAUGGCUCACCAAGGCGUCGACGGGUAGCCGGCCUGAGAGGGUGACCGGCCACACUGGGACUGAGACACGGCCCAGACUCCUACGGGAGGCAGCAGUGGGGAAUAUUGCACAAUGGGCGGAAGCCUGAUGCAGCAACGCCGCGUGAGGGAUGACGGCCUUCGGGUUGUAAACCUCUUUUAGCAGGGAAGAAGCGAGAGUGACGGUACCUGCAGAAAAAGCGCCGGCUAACUACGUGCCAGCAGCCGCGGUAAUACGUAGGGCGCAAGCGUUAUCCGGAAUUAUUGGGCGUAAAGAGCUCGUAGGCGGUUUGUCGCGUCUGCUGUGAAAUCCCGAGGCUCAACCUCGGGCCUGCAGUGGGUACGGGCAGACUAGAGUGCGGUAGGGGAGAUUGGAAUUCCUGGUGUAGCGGUGGAAUGCGCAGAUAUCAGGAGGAACACCGAUGGCGAAGGCAGAUCUCUGGGCCGUAACUGACGCUGAGGAGCGAAAGGGUGGGGAGCAAACAGGCUUAGAUACCCUGGUAGUCCACCCCGUAAACGUUGGGAACUAGUUGUGGGGACCAUUCCACGGUUUCCGUGACGCAGCUAACGCAUUAAGUUCCCCGCCUGGGGAGUACGGCCGCAAGGCUAAAACUCAAAGGAAUUGACGGGGACCCGCACAAGCGGCGGAGCAUGCGGAUUAAUUCGAUGCAACGCGAAGAACCUUACCAAGGCUUGACAUAUACGAGAACGGGCCAGAAUGGUCAACUCUUUGG